UUUUUGCUGUUCAGUCUCCCCCUUCUCCCUCAUGCAAGUCUUGCUGCUCCUUCUCCUUCACGGCAUUUCUCCUGCUGGAAGCAAAAACCCAGGCAAGAGCACUCUAACCUCGUUUGUCUAUGUGAGGUAUUUUUUUAAUUUAAGAUUGCAAUUUAAUAUCAGAUAAUCACUGAUUCGAAAGCUCGCUUGUAAUGACGCUAUCGAAAUCGGACCUCCCAGCGAUAUACUCGUUCUUGACCGAUUCAUUGAGUGGCGACGAAAUCGUCCGCAAGCCAGCAGAGGAGGCUCUCUCUCAGUGCGAGGCUAGGCCCAGCUUUUGCUCUUGUCUCAUGUGUGGUAUUGCUGUCAACGGUCAAAAACCAAAAACCCUAACUCGGUGUUGGUGAUUGCGUUUUGAGCCACGAACGAGGGGAGGUACUAUACAGUGGAUUGCGGAAACCCUAUUAUUUGGGGGAACCGAAGCUUUUCGAAUUGAAGUUUUACGCAAUGGGAGCUGUUAAGUUGGAACUUCGUUGUCCCCAAACUGUUGAGGGAAUUGCUGCCGACCCUGAACCUGAUUGGAGCUUCAAUGCUCUUUUAACAGAGCUUAAUGCAUUGGAAACAAAACUUAGUAGCUCUUCCAAAGUCCCUUUUAACAGAGCUUAAUGCAUUGGAAACAAAAACAGAGAAUAUGUCUCUUUUCUCACAUACACUAUACAUGUAUAGAUAUGAUAUGAGAUAUGGUUCUUCAUAUCAAGGGACUAGAAAUGUUGUGCAUGCAUUGUUACUAAAAUACACUUUUUGACGGAAGUGUGUAGAAUUUUAUUCUGUUGAGUAUAUAGAAAUCAUGUGGGGAGUUCUUAUAUUGUU